rnacentral:rRNA from 1 species
GGUGGACGCUGGCGGUAGGCCUAACACAUGCCAGUCGAACGGCAGCACAGUAAGAGCUUGCUCUUACGGGUGGCGAGUGGCGGACGGGUGAGGAAUACAUCGGAAUCUACUUUUUCGUGGGGGAUAACGUAGGGAAACUUACGCUAAUACCGCAUACGACCUACGGGUGAAAGCAGGGGAUCUUCGGACCUUGCGCGAUUGAAUGAGCCGAUGUCGGAUUAGCUAGUUGGCGGGGUAAAGGCCCACCAAGGCGACGAUCCGUAGCUGGUCUGAGAGGAUGAUCAGCCACACUGGAACUGAGACACGGUCCAGACUCCUACGGGAGGCAGCAGUGGGGAAUAUUGGACAAUGGGCGCAAGCCUGAUCCAGCCAUACCGCGUGGGUGAAGAAGGCCUUCGGGUUGUAAAGCCCUUUUGUUGGGAAAGAAAAGCAGCAGGUUAAUACCCCGCUGUUCUGACGGUACCCAAAGAAUAAGCACCGGCUAACUUCGUG